rnacentral:rRNA from 1 species
CGUAGAGUUUCAAGGGCCCAGGGACCCGGUCGCCUCU